CCCCCCAAAACAGCAGUACGCCAGGCUCUGCCACAAGAUUUCAAACGGCAGCCUGCUCACGUGAUCGUGUCUUAUGGCCAGAAGCUGCCAAAUUCUGAACUAUAAAAACAACCUGCAGCUUCAUGAAUCACUAUGGCUGGCUUAAGCGGCACAGAUACUGCCUCUCUCCUCACGCAACCCCGUGACUCACCACCAAGGAAGUGGUCUUCAUGGUUUCCUGCAAGUUUGAAUUGAUUGGGUUGUGCUGCCCAGGUGGAUCCUGGAGGAACCUUCCCGACGUUACACCCUAAAAGUCACCGGAUGAUUGCAAUCACUUCUGUCUGUCAGCAACAGAUACCAACUUGUAGUUUAUGGCUGAAUAUGUGAAGGGUGAUUGGCAGAGUCCGGGAUGGGGCUUUUAAACCUUAAGGAGACAAUGUGAGGCGUGGUAGACCAUGAACCGGGACCAGAGGUUUGCGUCUCAGCCGCUUGGAGUACUUGUUAGAUGUUAAAAGAUUUUAUGAAGUAUGAUGAACCAAAUCCUUCAUACGUGAUCUAUCUUGUGUGCAGUUGGGACUGGAUGGGGCAAUACAGCAUUUGGGAGGGAGCUUGGACGUUAGGAGACAGUGGCAUGCAUUGAGGCAUUGGACCAAGUUGGGUUAAUCCAAGAAAUGGACACGUACAUUUAUGCCCUGGGGACUUUGCUCUCAUGCCAUGCUAGACCUAUAAAAAGGGAUAGGUUGGAAGCAGGUUGGCAUGUGAAAUUGGACUGGGUAUAUUAGAAGACAUCAUGAGUCACAUUUGGCCAGAAUUAGGACCAGACAGUAGCAAUAUGGUGUCUUGCACUGGGUUUUGAAUAUCAGGAGAUGCUAUGGGUUUGCUUUAGCUCAAGAUAUUUAAUGUGAAGUAGGUCUUGUAUAGAACUGGAACUGGAUGGGUACAGUCUGGCAUCUUGAACUAGACCUUAUAUAUCCUGAGGCAUUAUGGAGCUUGUGUGGCCUAGAACUGGGACUGGGCGGUAGCAGAAUAGUGUCUACCAGUGAGUUUAAAUAUCAGAAGAUGCUAUCAGGUGUGUUGGACCAAAUCCCAGAGGUAGAUCUUCUAUGGAACUGAGACUGGAUGGCAGCAACAUAGUGUCUAUGACUGGGUUGAAACAUCAGGAGAUGUUAUCAGGUGUGCUGGAACACAUCAUUCAGGUAGAUCUUGAAUGUAACUGUGACUGGAUGGCAGCAAUAUAGGGUUUUCAACAGGGUUUAAGUAUCAGCAGAUCUUAUAGUGAGUAUUAGACCAAAUCAUUCAGGUAAAUCUUCUAUUGAACUGGGAUUGGAUGUUAGCAAGAUAGGGUCUGCAAAUGGGUUUAAGUAUCAGGAGAUGUUAUUGGGUGUGUUGGAUCAAAUUAUUGAGGUAGAUCUUCUAUGGAAUUGGGACUGGAUGGCAGCAAGAUAGUGUCUGUGACUAGAUUUAAGUGUCAGGAGACGUUAUCAGGUGUGUUGGACCAAAUCCCUGAGGAAGAAUCUUGAAUCUUGAAUGGAACUGGGAAUGGAUGGUAGCAAUAUAAGGUCUGUGACUGGGUUUAAACACCAGGAGAUGUUAUUGAGUGUGUUGGACCAAAUCAUUGAGGUAGUUCUUGAAUGGAACUGAGACUGGAUGUUAGCAAUAUAUGGUCUGUGACUGGAGUUAAGUGUCAGGAGAUAUUAUCAGGUGUGUUGGAUCAAAUCAUUGAGGUACAUCUUGUAUGGAACUGAGAAUGGAUGGUGGUAAUAUAAGGUCUGCGACUGGGUUUAAGUAUCAGGAGAUGUUAUCAGGUGUGUUAGAACAGAUCAUUGAGGUCCAUCUUGUACGGAACUGAGACUAGAUGAUUGCUGCGUAGCAUUUGGGGCAUUAAAAGUCCUUAUAAGGCCUGCUGCACCAAAUGCCUUCAAUGGAGAUACAGUAUAUCUCAUAAAAAUCCUGAGAUGGGUGGUUGCAGUGUAGCAUGUGGGACUUGGCUUCAGCAUCAGAAGCCAUUGUGGGCAUGUCGGUCCAAGUCUUUUUUAAUCACGAAUGCGUGAUGUUUAGAAGCUGAGACCAGACAGGUGCAACGUACCCUCUGGUACUGGGGUCAGAUAUCAAGAGGUGUGUUGAAGCUAGGCUGGGAUUACAGUUUUAAAUCCUGGAGAGAGUGUUUUAAAUACUGGGAGGCACUAUGAGGCACAUUGGGCCUAGAGCUACAGUAGGAGUAAUUAUGGCAGAUAAAUAACAGAGGACAUUACGAGGCUUGUUAGACCAAAUUGUUUCACCAGGUUGGGUUUCUUUCUGGGACUGGGUGUGACAUUUUCUGGUGUUUUGGACCAAACCUUUUUUUACCAGGGACAUGCCUGGUGCAUGGUAGUGUCUGACGCUAGGCAUAAACAUCAGGAGGCUUUGUUAGGUGUGCUGGACCUAGAAAUGGGGUUGCAAUUUGGAACCUUAGACUGUGGUUUAUAAUAAUUUAGGAGACAUUACUAAGCCUGCUGGACCUAGAACUGAAAACGGAAGGGAGCAUCAUUGCACUGCGCUUACAUAUCUGGAAUUGUUCUGAGAUCUUUUCUGGACCACGUCAUGUCUUCAGGGAUAGGCGUUCAUGCAGAACUAGGACCAGAUGAGUGUACUGUUGCCUCUGAGUACUGGGCAGAAAUUGUGAGACAUGUUAAAAGGUAUGCUAGACGUGGAACCUGGACUGGAGUGGAGCAACAUGGCCUCUGUGAUGGAACUUAAAUAUCGCUACACGUCAAGAGGCGGGUUGUGCCACAUUCUUAAAUCAGUGCCAUGUGUUACAGAGAAGCAGCACUGGACGAGUGCAAUGCACGGGUUCAAACCUCAGGAGACGUUACAAGGUGUGCUGAGCCCAGCCCUCUAAUCGGAGUUUGUACAACUGGGCAGCCUUUCAGUUAACUUGGAAGAGAUUUUAUUUUUUUCCCAGAGGCCGAGAAUACUUUGUGAAAUGACAUCGAAAGUACAAGGCAGCGUAACUCCCUGCCACAAGUCUGUGCCUGCCCUGGGAAAACAGGAGAGGCGUCUUAUUCAGAGGUUUCUUUUAGUCUGGCUAAGGAUAAAAAGAGACCAGUAAGGGCAGAUAAAAAGCUGUUUUAUUACUUCUUUUUUUGUAAAAAGUAUAUAGGGUUGUACGAUUUAAAAGUAGUAAGAAUGUCUGUUUGCUUCAGAACAGUAAGGCUAACGUUAGUAUUCUGUAACUGUUUAAACGUUUCGCUGCCUUGUGAAACGAGCCUUAGUCAUGUAAACUACUCGGCAGGCUCCGACUGGCCUGUUUACAAUUUCUAUGAAGCAGUUUUCAUUUUAAUAAUAAAAAAAAAAUGAUAUAUAUUAACGAAGAAAGGCCUCAAAGGAAAAGCAAAGGAGGAGGAGGAGGAGGAGGAAAGGGAAACCUGACCUUCAAUUCAAGGCUGCCGUUUCCGUUGGGCUCUGACAGAUGUGUUGUGCGAGUGCAGAGCUACUUGUAUUUAUUUAAUUCUUUAUUUCUUCAGUUCACCCGAUCUAGGCGUGCGUCUAUAUUUAAUUAUGUUUUCCAUAACGGUGCUACUCUCCUCGGAGUGUUUAACUGCCAACCCUGUGAAUUGCACGCUGGCCUACAUUUUCCUGUUGGUAUUUUGCAAAGCCAUUCUUUAUUCAAGUGAUUUUUCCCUCCCAUUGCCACCUUCUUCCAUUGAUCAGUAAACCCCUCGCCACCCCACACCAUCCCUACCACGUCAACAGUUAUACCACUUUAACCAGAAUGGCCGGUGACAUGUCCACCUCUGACCGUCACUAUGGGCUGUCCCUAAGUGAAGAUCAAGUGAGGAGACAACUGAGGAGGAUACACACAGGAAGAGCUGUGGAACCAGAUGGAGGGAGUCCUCGAGUUCUUAAAGACUGUGCUGGCCAACGUUGUGGUGUCUUCUGUCACCUUUUCAGUCGGUCAUUAAUGCAGCAAAAAGUUCUGCUGCUGUGGAAAACAUCCUGCACUGCUCCAGUUCCAAAAAACGGCAAUUGCCUCUUCAUCUCAUGACUAAUCCUGCCUACUAUACUAAAAUAUCUAUCUCUCUGAU